rnacentral:lncRNA from 1 species
GCUUUUCCUAAAAAGUUGAGAAUUUAGACCUGGACUUGGCUGAGCUGUUUUACUGAUUUUUGCAAGAGCAAGAAGAACUUUCAGAAAGGCACCAUCGGUCUUGAGCUGGAAGCCCGCCUUUUAGGUUUUGAAGAGAGAAGAGGUGGAGGAGGAUGUGUGCUCCAUGAAGACGUGUUCACAGACUCUAACUUGCUAUGGAGUGGCCAGAGGGCUCGACGAAGAUGCCAACUGCCUUCAGAUGUCUCCAGCUCCUAUCACGGCUGUGUGAAGCUAUAGGCUGUGGUAAAGACCAACCAGGGGAGAACAAGCAAAGGCCAUUUAUUCAGAGGCUGCUGUAUCAGGGGAGUCAGCCACCCACACAUGUCUUAUGGAAAGCUGCUUCUGCCCCAACCCUGUUUUAGCUAGUCUUCAGUUUAAUCUGAUAUCCGGUACCACCUCCUACCCCAUUUCUACCCAUCUUAGGUUCAUUGGCUGGGACGCCUGUGACAAAAGACAGAUUAACAAGAGAAAGGUACACAAAUUUAUUUAAUAUGUGUUAUGUGACACAGGAGCCUUCAAAAGGAAAUGAAGUUCUGAAGAAACAGCUAAACCUGAAUGGUUUUUGUCGUAGAUUUGAGAAGAAUGAAGCAUUGUGGGAAAAUAUGACAAAGUAAAGAAAAAGAAUG